rnacentral:rRNA from 1 species
UACGUAGGCAGCAAGCGUUGUUCGGAGUUACUGGGCGUAAAGGGUGUGUAGGCGGUUGGAUAAGUGUGGUGUGAAAUCUCCCGGCUCAACUGGGAGGGUGCGCCGAAUACUGAGAGGCUAGAGUGUGGGAGAGGAAAGUGGAAUUCCUGGUGUAGCGGUGAAAUGCGUAGAUAUCAGGAGGAACACCGGUGGUGUAAACGGCUUUCUGGACCAUAACUGACGCUGAUGCACGAAAGCGUGGGUAGCAAACAGG